AACCUCUCAGGGUCUCACCUGGAGAGUUUCCAGGGCUCUACCGGUCUCGACUACUGAGGGAGAGUCAAGCAGAGGUCUACCCAUUUCAUUCCUAGCUUGGGCAGUGGCUACUGAGUGGAAGGCCAUCUGCUACAAGU
rfam:Ornithorhynchus anatinus chromosome X1, whole genome shotgun sequence.